rnacentral:rRNA from 1 species
CUUAAAGGAAUUGACGGGACCCGCACAAGCGGUGGAUGAUGUGGAUUAAUUCGAUGCAACGCGAAGAACCUUACCUACCCUUGACAUGUCCGGAACUUGCCAGAGAUGGCUUGGUGCCCGAAAGGGAAUCGGAACACAGGUGCUGCAUGGCUGUCGUCAGCUCGUGUCGUGAGAUGUUGGGUUAAGUCCCGCAACGAGCGCAACCCUUAUCAUUAGUUGCUACGCAAGGGCACUCUAAUGAGACUGCCGGUGACAAACCGGAGGAAGGUGGGGAUGACGUCAAGUCCUCAUGGCCCUUAUGGGUAGGGCUUCACACGUCAUACAAUGGUCGGUACAGAGGGUUGCCAACCCGCGAGGGGGAGCUAAUCCCACAAAGCCGAUCGUAGUCCGGAUCGCAGUCUGCAACUCGACUGCGUGAAGUCGGAAUCGCUAGUAAUCGUGGAUCAGCAUGUCACGGUGAAUACGUUCCCGGGUCUU